AGUGAACGCUGGCGGUAGGCCUAACAUAUGCAAGUCGAACGGCAGCACAGUAAGAGCUUGCUCUUACGGGUGGCGAGUGGCGGACGAGUGAGGAAUACAUCGGAAUCUACUUUUUCGUGGGGGAUAACGUAGGGAAACUUACGCUAAUACCGCAUACGACCUACGGGUGAAAGCAGGGGAUCUUCGGACCUUGCGCGAUUGAAUGAGCCGAUGUCGGAUUAGCUAGUUGGCGGGGUAAAGGCCCACCAAGGCGACGAUCCGUAGCUGGUCUGAGAGGAUGAUCAGCCACACUGGAACUGAGACACGGUCCAGACUCCUAUGGGAGGCAGCAGUGGGGAAUAUUGGACAAUGGGCGCAAGCCUGAUCCAGCCAUACCGCGUGGGUGAAGAAGGCCUUCGGGUUGUAAAGCCCUUUUGUUGGGAAAGAAAAGCAGCAGGUUAAUACCCCGCUGUUCUGACGGUACCCAAAGAAUAAGCACCGGCUAACUUCGUG
rnacentral:rRNA from 1 species